GUGAGGAAUAUUGGUCAAUGGGCGGAAGCCUGAACCAGCCAUCCCGCGUGGAGGAAGACGGCCCUAUGGGUUGUAAACUUCUUUUCAAGGGGAAGAAAGUUCGCGACGUGUCGCGAUUUGCCGGUACCUUUGGAAUAAGCAUCGGCUAACUCCGUGCCAGCAGCCGCGGUAAUACGGAGGAUGCGAGCGUUAUCCGGAUUUAUUGGGUUUAAAGGGUGCGUAGGCCGAUCGAUAAGUCAGCGGUGAAAUACCAUGGCCCAACCAUGGAACUGCCGUUGAUACUGUCGGUCGUGAAUAUGGUCAAGGUAGGCGGAAUGUGUAAUGUAGCGGUGAAAUGCUUAGAUAUUACACAGAACACCGAUUGCGAAGGCAGCUUACUGGUCCAUUAUUGACGCUGAGGCACGAAAGCGUGGGGAUCGAACAGGAUUAGAAACCCGGGUAGUCC
rnacentral:rRNA from 1 species